rnacentral:rRNA from 1 species
CCUACGGGUGGCAGCAGUGAGGAAUAUUGGUCAAUGGGCGCGAGCCUGAACCAGCCAAGUAGCGUGAAGGAUGACUGCCCUACGGGUUGUAAACUUCUUUUAUAAAGGAAUAAAGUGAUGCACGUGAGCAGUUUUGUAUGUACUAUAUGAAUAAGGAUCGGCUAACUCCGUGCCAGCAGACGCGGUAAUACGGAGGAUCCGAGCGUUAUCCGGAUUUAUUGGGUUUAAAGGGAGCGUAGUUGGGUUGUUAAGUCAGUUGUGAAAGUUUGCGGCUCAACCGUAAAAUUGCAAUUGAAACUGGCAGCCUUGAGUACAGUAGAGGUAGGCGGAAUUCGUGGUGUAGCGGUGAAAUGCUUAGAUAUCACGAAGAACUCCGAUUGCGAAGGCAGCUUACUGGACUGCCACUGACACUGAGGCUCGAAAGUGUGGGUAUCAAACAGGAUUAGAUACCCCUGUAGUC